ACACACAAGGGACAGCUGGUGAGCAACAAGUUAAUUCCAGAAGUGCACUGCCCCACCAAGUACCUCAAAAGCACAAAGCAAGGUAUCAGAGAAACCAAUUAUCCAUACAAAGAAAAAUCUAAGAAAAGAAGACUUUUAGAUGAACAUUAAAUUUGAGCAUGUAAGUGUUCUGAGGACCUAAAUUUUUAAAAAACUCUCUCGUGUGAAGGAUUUUUAAGACACUCUGGUUUCUUUACUCAUUGUUCAAAUCUCUUCCUACCAGAAAAUUGCGGUGUAUCAAUUUUAGAAGAAACGCAUCUCCAGUAGUACUGUAGUGGAAAUUGCUGGUGUAUUCUUGUGGAAGUGGCUCAUAAAGGGAAGAGUGCUGGAGGCUGGCAGCCCACAGCUAUGGCUGCACUAACAAACCAAUAAAGGCCAAAGCGUGGACCCCAGAAAUGUUUCAAGUGUCAAGAGCUAUGGAGUUCAAGUUACAAAUGUGGAAAAAGGAUGAAAUUAAAAGUCUGUGCAGUAGCUGGGUAUCAAGCUAUGCCUUGGCUGCUGCACUGAGCAUAUUUAUUUCCUGGUUGUCCAGGCAGUCCCCAGAGAGGCACCUGCACAGACUGACUCGAGACAGUGAAGUAGUUGGCUGAACUUCUGGCCACCUUCAGAGCAGGGCAUUUGACUAAUUGGACCAGGGGGUCUCCAGUUCCAAAUCCAGGACUGUCCUGAAAAAUCCUGCAGACAGCUCCUGCUGUGACCAGCCCUGGGGACUGUUUCAAAUUGUUGAAAGAAAAACCUUGCUGGGGAAUCUGCUCACCCCAGAUGCCACCUCAGAUUGCUCCUGAUGCAGAAUUGACCAGGUCUGACAUUGAGAAGAUACUUAUAAACAGUCAGCAGAAAUUAUUCCUGCAGAAAUGGUCACACAGGACAGGCUUCCAUACACAGUGAUGGCAAGAGACAUUUUCUAUGGAGUUGAAGGUAAUCAAUAGCAGUGACCAUGCUGGAUUUAAGCAUUCAGCAAAAAAAA